rnacentral:lncRNA from 1 species
AUGGUGUCGUGUCAUCAACCAAUUAGUCAAGAUGGUUGGUGUCGUGUCAUCAACCAAUUUGUCAUGAUGGUUGAUGGUGUCGUGUCAUCAACCAAUUGUCAUGAUGGUUGAUGGUGUCGUGUCAUCAACAAUUAGUCAAGAUGGUUGAUGGUGUAGUGUCAUCAACCAAUUAGUCAUGAUGGUUGAUGGUGGGUCACACCAAUUAGUCAUGAUGGUUGAUGGGGUCGUGUCAUCAACCAAUUAGUCAAGAUGGUUGAAUGGUGUCGUGUCAUCAACCAAUUUGGUCAUGAUGGUUGAUGGUGUCGUGUCUCAACCAAUUAGCAAGAUGGUUGGUGUCGUGUCAUCACCAAUUUGUCAGGAUGGUUGAUGGUGUAGUGUUCACAACCAAUUUGUCAUGAUGGUUGGAUGGUGUAUGGUCACAACCAAAGUCAAGAUGGUUUGAUGGUGUAGUGUCAUCAACCAUUAGUCAUGAUGGUUGAUGGUGUCGUGUCAUCAACCAAUUAGUCAAGAGGGUUGAUGGUUAGUGUCAUCAACCAAUUAGUCAAGAUGGUGGUGGGUCGUGUCAUCAACCAAUUAGUCAUGAUGGUUAUGUGGCGUGUCAUCACCAAUUUGUCAUGAUGGUUGAUGGGUGUCGUGUCACAACCAAUUUGUCAUGAUGGUUUGAUGGUGUAGUGUAAUCAACCAAUUAGUCAAGAUGGUUGAUGGUGUAGUGUCAUCAAGAGGGUUGAUGGUGUAGUGUCAUCAACCAAUCCCCAUUAGAAGAAGUUAUUAAUGACAUACAGUGCCUUGCAAAAGUAUCGGCCCCCUUGAACUUUGCGACCUUUUGCCACAUUCAGGCU